UACGUAGGGUGCGAGCGUUAAUCGGAAUUACUGGGCGUAAAGCGCGCGUAGGUGGUUCGUUAAGUUGGAUGUGAAAUCCCCGGGCUCAACCUGGGAACUGCAUUCAAAACUGACGAGCUAGAGUAUGGUAGAGGGUGGUGGAAUUUCCUGUGUAGCGGUGAAAUGCGUAGAUAUAGGAAGGAACACCAGUGGCGAAGGCGACCACCUGGACUGAUACUGACACUGAGGUGCGAAAGCGUGGGGAGCAAACAGG
rnacentral:rRNA from 1 species